rnacentral:lncRNA from 10 species
UGCCAGGGUUCACCACUAUCUUAGGAAUAUCAUGAAUAAAGCGUUAGAUUGGGUGUGCCCUAACUGAUGGUCACAAGCAUGAUACUAAUUAUCAGGGUGAACAAAGCAGGGGAGUAAGAGCAUCAGUAACUGUGAAACUCUAGGAGUUUGUCUUCAUUCUUUCAGUGAUAGAAUAUCUAGCAUUUGUAUUUCGUACAUCAUACACUUGAGUUAGUAUCUGUGGAAAGGAUAAAUACAUAAGGAAAAGAGAUGCAGGAAGCUGCAGAGACACUGGCCAUUUAUCUGAGAAGUGCCCAAUGAGGCAUCACCGGAUAAGCACACGUCGGGUCGUUCUCCUGCUUCAGUAAGGUCUGUGGCGUUGACAUUAUCAAUGCUAUGGAUGCCUCAAGGCUCUCAUAAAAAUACAUGGCUUCAGCAAUACGCAUGCAGUUAUCUCAGUUUAAAGGAAAUGGGUUCUGCUCCCUGCUUAAUAAGAAAUCCUGCUUACUUCUCCAGCUUUUGAAGCACAGAUUAUUUUUCUUCUCUUCAUCAUAUAAAAAUGGAAAUUAUCAAAACAAAACAUCAUCAAAACAAAACAUCAUCAAAAACAGGUUGCUCUCUGAGUAAAGGUUUUAUGUUUGUUUGGGAUAGAAUCUCAUUCUGUCACCCAGGCCAGAGAGCACUGACAUUAUCAUGGCUCACUGCAACCUCAAACUCCCAAGCUCAAGCGAUCCUCCCACCUCAGCCUCCCAAGUAGCUGGGACCACAG